rnacentral:rRNA from 1 species
GCCGCGUGUGUGAAGAAGGCCCUCGGGUUGUAAAGCACUUUCAGCGAGGAAGAACGCCUAUCGGUUAAUACCCGGUAGGAAAGACAUCACUCGCAGAAGAAGCACCGGCUAACUCCGUGCCAGCAGCCGCGGUAAUACGGAGGGUGCAAGCGUUAAUCGGAAUUACUGGGCGUAAAGCGCGCGUAGGUGGCUUGAUAAGCCGGUUGUGAAAGCCCCGGGCUCAACCUGGGAACGGCAUCCGGAACUGUCAGGCUAGAGUGCAGGAGAGGAAGGUAGAAUUCCCGGUGUAGCGGUGAAAUGCGUAGAGAUCGGGAGGAAUACCAGUGGCGAAGGCGGCCUUCUGGACUGACACUGACACUGAGGUGCGAAAGCGUGGGUAGCAAACAGGAUUAGAUACCCUGGUAGUCCACGCCGUAAACGAUGUCGACCAGCCGUUGGGUGCCUAGAGCACUUUGUGGCGAAGUUAACGCGAUAAGUCGACCGCCUGGGGAGUACGGCCGCAAGGUUAAAACUCAAAUGAAUUGACGGGGGCCCGCACAAGCGGUGGAGCAUGUGGUUUAAUUCGAUGCAACGCGAAGAACCUUACCUACCCUUGACAUCUACAGAAGCCGGAAGAGAUUCUGGUGUGCCUUCGGGAACUGUAAGACAGGUGCUGCAUGGCUGUCGUCAGCUCGUGUUGUGAAAUGUUGGGUUAAGUCCCGUAACGAGCGCAACCC